CAUUGUGUACACAGCUCGGUGUUGUGAUUCUGGCCCCUGGUCCAUGAGGUUGUCCACAGCAAGGAGGCGAACCAGCAGCACAACUCGCAAUGCUCUUUCUCUCACCCAAACCCCAAGGGUGUGCAAGUCAAUAGGGGUCCCCGCCAUGAGGAUGGUUCUGAUCUUGAGGCCCCCCAAGACUGGUUACAGGAUUGGACUAGUAUCUGGAGGAGUCUAUCCCUUUCACUUUCCAGAGUCCUGAUCCCCUCCCAUCUAUGUUCUGAAUACAGGCCUCUUUCCGCUGAAAUGGAAGCUGCCAAAGCAUUUGGGUAGGGCCCCCACCCACACUUCACGGGGCCAAGCUGCAGGCAGAAAGGGUGCUGGUCAUUCUCACCGAGGCUCCAGAGCUCAAGCUGGGUUGUUCUGGAUGGAGAGCCGUGUGGAAUGCAGGUCUGACCACAGGUGUCUGAGCAGCCUCAUCACACUGCGACUCAGAUGGAGCUGUGCUGUGUCUUUGUGGAGCUGCUAGCAGCCAUCUCACCCUUCCAGGCCUGCUGCUGCCAGCGUUUGGAUUGUAGAGAAGGACAUGACAUCCACUGGUGUUUAGGAAGAAGACUCCCUGAGCCAGUUCCCCUUGAUCACGACAACAUACCAAACAUGAAGUUGUCUGGCCUGAAGAUCUGGCCGAAUGGUCCAGACCUGACUGAGUCCAUCGUGCCCGGCUCCAGGUCCACCAGGAUGGCCCGAGGUACGUACUUGUUACCUGCGGGGAGGAAGAGCUGGACUUAGAUCUGCGGUGGCAAAGGAAUCAGACAAGCUGGUGCUCUCUGCGCCUUUCACAGCAGAGUUCACUAGAGCUCAUUCCAGCAUGUGACAUAAAAGGACAAGAAUAGGGGAGAGUUGCUGCUUCAUAAAGGAGCUAAUGAGCAAGCUUGGCCAUGGCGAACAUGCAGGGUCUUAAGGCACUGUAGUGUGUUUUUUAGCCCCUGACAUUUUAAACGAACGCAAGAAGCAUUUCUCUGUCAUUUGUAUGUUCCUAAUGCAGUGAUGGCGAACCUAUGACACACGUGUCAGAGGUGACACGCGAACUCAUUUUUCUGGUUGAUUUUUCUUUGUUAAAUGGCACUUAAAUAUAUAAAAUAAAUAUCAAAAAUACAAGUCUUUGUUUCACUAUGGUUGCAAAUAUCAAAAAAUUUCUAUAUGUGACACGGCACCAGAGUUAAGUUAGGGUUUUUCAAAAUGCUGACACGCCGAGCUCAAAAGGUUCACCAUCACUAUCCUAGUGCAUGGCAUCUGCCCCUGUAUGGAAAGCAAGAUUGAAAGAAAAGCAA